ACGUAGGGUGCGAGCGUUAAUCGGUAUUACUGGGCGUAAAGCGUGCGCAGGCGGCUCUAUAAGACAGAUGUGAAAUCCCCGGGCUUAACCUGGGAACUGCGUUUGUGACUGUAGGGCUUGAGUGCGGCAGAAGGGGGUGGAAUUCCACGUGUAGCAGUGAAAUGCGUAGAGAUGUGGAGGAACACCGAUGGCGAAGGCGACACCCUGGGCCGUACCUGACGCUAAGACGCGACAGCACGGGGAGCGAACGG
rnacentral:rRNA from 1 species